GACGAACGCUGGCGGCGUGCUUAACACAUGCAAGUCGAACGGAAAGGCCCUGCUUUUGUGGGGUGCUCGAGUGGCGAACGGGUGAGUAACACGUGAGUAACCUGCCCUUGACUUUGGGAUAACUUCAGGAAACUGGGGCUAAUACCGGAUAGGAGCUCCUGCUGCAUGGUGGGGGUUGGAAAGUUUCGGCGGUUGGGGAUGGACUCGCGGCUUAUCAGCUUGUUGGUGGGGUAGUGGCUUACCAAGGCUUUGACGGGUAGCCGGCCUGAGAGGGUGACCGGCCACAUUGGGACUGAGAUACGGCCCAGACUCCUACGGGAGGCAGCAGUGGGGAAUAUUGCACAAUGGGCGGAAGCCUGAUGCAGCAACGCCGCGUGCGGGAUGACGGCCUUCGGGUUGUAAACCGCUUUCGCCUGUGACGAAGCGUGAGUGACGGUAAUGGGUAAAGAAGCACCGGCUAACUACGUGCCAGCAGCCGCGGUGAUACGUAGGGUGCGAGCGUUGUCCGGAUUUAUUGGGCGUAAAGGGCUCGUAGGUGGUUGAUCGCGUCGGAAGUGUAAUCUUGGGGCUUAACCCUGAGCGUGCUUUCGAUACGGGUUGACUUGAGGAAGGUAGGGGAGAAUGGAAUUCCUGGUGGAGCGGUGGAAUGCGCAGAUAUCAGGAGGAACACCAGUGGCGAAGGCGGUUCUCUGGGCCUUUCCUGACGCUGAGGAGCGAAAGCGUGGGGAGCGAACAGGCUUAGAUACCCUGGUAGUCCACGCUGUAAACGGUGGGUACUAGGUGUGGGGUCCAUUCCACGGGUUCCGUGCCGUAGCUAACGCUUUAAGUACCCCGCCUGGGGAGUACGGCCGCAAGGCUAAAACUCAAAGGAAUUGACGGGGCCCCGCACAAGCGGCGGAGCAUGCGGAUUAAUUCGAUGCAACGCGUAGAACCUUACCUGGGUUUGACAUGGAUCGGGAGUGCUCAGAGAUGGGUGUGCCUCUUUUGGGGUCGGUUCACAGGUGGUGCAUGGCUGUCGUCAGCUCGUGUCGUGAGAUGUUGGGUUAAGUCCCGCAACGAGCGCAACCCUUGUUCACUGUUGCCAGCACGUUAUGGUGGGGACUCAGUGGAGACCGCCGGGGUCAACUCGGAGGAAGGUGGGGAUGACGUCAAGUCAUCAUGCCCCUUAUGUCCAGGGCUUCACGCAUGCUACAAUGGCUGGUACAGAGAGUGGCGAGCCUGUGAGGGUGAGCGAAUCUCGGAAAGCCGGUCUCAGUUCGGAUUGGGGUCUGCAACUCGACCUCAUGAAGUCGGAGUCGCUAGUAAUCGCAGAUCAGCAACGCUGCGGUGAAUAACGUUCCCGGG
rnacentral:rRNA from 1 species